AAAUACAGAAUAAUGUGUAUUAAAAUGCUUAGGAAAAUAUGAUAAAUAAAGGCAAUUAGGUAACACUAACAUUUGAUUACAAAAUUAAAAGAUUAAAAAAAAAUUGAUUUUAAAUAAAAACUAAAAAUAUAUUAACUUUGUUAAGUGUUAGAAACAAAAUAGAAAAUCAAAACUUUAAUUUAGCCUAAGUUGUGUUCAUUUUAUUUAUAUAUUAAAUAAUGAGUAAAAUUUAAAAGCGACUUUG
rnacentral:lncRNA from 1 species